AUGGGGCACCACUACCAGCUGUUCGAGGACCCGUUCGCGAGCAGCAUGUCGUUGCUGGAGCCCGACAUCUUCUCCGGCACCGGCGUCCACCACCACCUCGCGCCGUCCAUGCAGUGGCUGGGCCUCGGAAACCACGGCAUCCCAGUAGCGCCGACCGUCAACAACGGCACCUCCUCGGGCGGCGACGGCGACGGCUCGGGCUCCCAUCGCAAGAUCAGCCACAACGCCUACGAGCGAGACCGACGCAAGGAACUCAACGAGCUCUACUCCGACCUCCGCUCCCUCCUCCCCGAAGACGAUCGCACCAAGAAGCUGAGCAUUCCAAUCACGGUUUCACGGGUGCUCAAGUACAUCCCAGAGCUGCAGAAGCAGGUGGAAGGCCUGGAGAAGAAAAAGGAGGAGCUGACGCGGGCCAGCUGCAAGCCGGGAGUGCUGACCAUGAGGGAGAACACGGCUCCGAUUGUGUCCGCCACCUGCAUCGACGACAGGGAUAUCAUGGUCCAGGUCGGCCUGGUGAGCACUAUGGCUGGAGAUCUGCCCUUGUCCAAGUGCAUCAACGUGCUGGAGAAUGAAGGUCUUCGCCUCAUCAGCUCGUCCACUUCCGCAUUCCAGAACAGGACGUUCUACAGCCUUCAUCUUCAGAGAACCCAACGAACAAUGAGCAAGGAGUGUCCGGCAUUUUGUGAAGAACUGGAGAACGUCAUGAAGCAAAAGGCAGGAGUGCGUCUACAUCACUAG
rnacentral:rRNA from 1 species